AGAGUUUGAUCCUGGCUCAGGACGAACGCUGGCGGCGCGCCUAACACAUGCAAGUCGAACGAGCGAGAGAGAGCUUGCUUUCUCAAGCGAGUGGCGAACGGGUGAGUAACGCGUGAGGAACCUGCCUCAAAGAGGGGGACAACAGUUGGAAACGACUGCUAAUACCGCAUAAGCCCACAGGUCGGCAUCGACCAGAGGGAAAAGGAGCAAUCCGCUUUGAGAUGGCCUCGCGUCCGAUUAGCUAGUUGGUGAGGUAACGGCCCACCAAGGCGACGAUCGGUAGCCGGACUGAGAGGUUGAACGGCCACACUGGGACUGAGACACGGCCCAGACUCCUACGGGAGGCAGCAGUGGGGAAUAUUGCACAAUGGGGGAAACCCUGAUGCAGCGACGCCGCGUGGAGGAAGAAGGUCUUCGGAUUGUAAACUCCUGUUGUUGAGGAAGAUAAUGACGGUACUCAACAAGGAAGUGACGGCUAACUACGUGCCAGCAGCCGCGGUAAAACGUAGGUCACAAGCGUUGUCCGGAAUUACUGGGUGUAAAGGGAGCGCAGGCGGGAAGACAAGUUGGAAGUGAAAUCUAUGGGCUCAACCCAUAAACUGCUUUCAAAACUGUUUUUCUUGAGUAGUGCAGAGGUAGGCGGAAUUCCCGGUGUAGCGGUGGAAUGCGUAGAUAUCGGGAGGAACACCAGUGGCGAAGGCGGCCUACUGGGCACCAACUGACGCUGAGGCUCGAAAGUGUGGGUAGCAAACAGGAUUAGAUACCCUGGUAGUCCACACCGUAAACGAUGAUUACUAGGUGUUGGAGGAUUGACCCCUUCAGUGCCGCAGUUAACACAAUAAGUAAUCCACCUGGGGAGUACGACCGCAAGGUUGAAACUCAAAGGAAUUGACGGGGGCCCGCACAAGCAGUGGAGUAUGUGGUUUAAUUCGACGCAACGCGAAGAACCUUACCAAGUCUUGACAUCCCUUGACGAUACUGGAAACAGUAUUUCUCUUCGGAGCAAGGAGACAGGUGGUGCAUGGUUGUCGUCAGCUCGUGUCGUGAGAUGUUGGUUAAGUCCCGCAACGAGCGCAACCCUUACUGUCAGUUACUACGCAAGAGGACUCUGGCAGGACUGCCGUUGACAAAACGGAGGAAGGUGGGGAUGACGUCAAAUCAUCAUGCCCUUUAUGACUUGGGCUACACACGUUCUACAAUGGCGUUAAACAAAGAGAAGCAAGACCGCGAGGUGGAGCAAAACUCAGAAACAACGUCCCAGUUCGGACUGCAGGCUGCAACUCGCCUGCACGAAGUCGGAAUUGCUAGUAAUCGUGGAUCAGCAUGCCACGGUGAAUACGUUCCCGGGCCUUGACACACCGCCCGUCA
rnacentral:rRNA from 1 species